AUGGCCCUCUCAUCAGUUUUCAGGAGAGUAAACAUCAAAGAACUGAUCUCAAAUGUUCCAGUGUACACUAGCUCAACAGAGACAUCUGGAGGAAUGAGCUUGGUGUUUAGGCGUUGGGCCACAAAAAAGACUGCUGGGUCAACGAAAAAUGGCCGCGACUCUAACCCCAAGUAUCUGGGUGUUAAGAAAUUUGGUGGAGAGCCUAGUGCCAGUUCCUGUUUUUCCCCUUGUUUCAGUGUUUCGCAGAAAAGGAAUAUCAAACGGAGUCCAAACGAAAUGAAACCUUCGAGAAAGUUAUUUUUGGGAAGAAAGCAAUCCGGGAGACUUGGAGUGCAUCUAUGGACUUAUGAUUGUAUGCAUGUGCUCCACGUGCAUAUUGAAAAGGGUGCAAGUAAUAAGUAA
rnacentral:rRNA from 1 species